UUGGAAGAGCUUGCUCAGAUAUGACGAUGGACAUUGCAAAGAGUGGCGAACGGGUGAGUAACACGUGGGAAACCUACCUCUUAGCAGGGGAUAACAUUUGGAAACAGAUGCUAAUACCGUAUAACAAUGACAACCGCAUGGUUGUUAUUUAAAAGAUGGUUCUGCUAUCACUAAGAGAUGGUCCCGCGGUGCAUUAGCUAGUUGGUAAGGUAAUGGCUUACCAAGGCGAUGAUGCAUAGCCGAGUUGAGAGACUGAUCGGCCACAAUGGGACUGAGACACGGCCCAUACUCCUACGGGAGGCAGCAGUAGGGAAUCUUCCACAAUGGGCGAAAGCCUGAUGGAGCAACGCCGCGUGUGUGAUGAAGGGUUUCGGCUCGUAAAACACUGUUGUAAGAGAAGAAUGACAUUGAGAGUAACUGUUCAAUGUGUGACGGUAUCUUACCAGAAAGGAACGGCUAAAUACGUGCCAGCAGCCGCGGUAAUACGUAUGUUCCAAGCGUUAUCCGGAUUUAUUGGGCGUAAAGCGAGCGCAGACGGUUAUUUAAGUCUGAAGUGAAAGCCCUCAGCUCAACUGAGGAAUUGCUUUGGAAACUGGAUGACUUGAGUGCAGUAGAGGAAAGUGGAACUCCAUGUGUAGCGGUGAAAUGCGUAGAUAUAUGGAAGAACACCAGUGGCGAAGGCGGCUUUCUGGACUGUAACUGACGUUGAGGCUCGAAAGUGUGGGUAGCAAACAGGAUUAGAUACCCUGGUAGUCCACACCGUAAACGAUGAGUGCUAGGUGUUUGAGGGUUUCCGCCCUUAAGUGCCGCAGCUAACGCAUUAAGCACUCCGCCUGGGGAGUACGACCGCAAGGUUGAAACUCAAAGGAAUUGACGGGGACCCGCACAAGCGGUGGAGCAUGUGGUUUAAUUCGAAGCAACGCGAAGAACCUUACCAGGUCUUGACAUCCCUUGACAACUCCAGAGAUGGAGCGUUCCCUUCGGGGACAAGGUGACAGGUGGUGCAUGGUUGUCGUCAGCUCGUGUCGUGAGAUGUUGGGUUAAGUCCCGCAACGAGCGCAACCCUUAUUACUAGUUGCCAGCAUUCAGUUGGGCACUCUAGUGAGACUGCCGGUGACAAACCGGAGGAAGGUGGGGAUGACGUCAAAUCAUCAUGCCCCUUAUGACCUGGGCUACACACGUGCUACAAUGGCGUAUACAACGAGUUGCCAACCCGCGAGGGUGAGCUAAUCUCUUAAAGUACGUCUCAGUUCGGAUUGUAGGCUGCAACUCGCCUACAUGAAGUCGGAAUCGCUAGUAAUCGCGGAUCAGCACGCCGCGGUGAAUACGUUCCCGGGUCUUGUACACACCGCCCGUCACACCAUGA
rnacentral:rRNA from 1 species